UAUCAAGGGGUGCCUGUCAAAGUGGCGGGCUGAGAUCAAACCCUCCUCACCUGAUUCGGACAAUACCGACGUAGGGAUGAUAAGU
rnacentral:ncRNA from 1 species